UGGGGAAUUGUUCGCAAUGGGCGCAAGCCUGACGACGCAACGCCGCGUGGAGGAUGAAGGUCUUCGGAUUGUAAACUCCUGUUGACCGGGAAGAAUGGGCCUUGAGCGAAUAGCUCGAGGCAAUGACGGUACCGGUUGAAGAAGCACCGGCUAACUCUGUGCCAGCAGCCGCGGUAAUACAGAGGGUGCGAGCGUUAAUCGGAAUUACUGGGCGUAAAGCGCGCGUAGGCGGCUUUGCAAGCCGGAUGUGAAAUCCCCGGGCUUAACCUGGGAACUGCAUUCGGGACUGCAUUGCUAGAGUAUGGGAGAGGGAAGUGGAAUUUCAGGUGUAGCGGUGAAAUGCGUAGAUAUCUGAAGGAACAUCAGUGGCGAAAGCGACUUCCUGGACCAAUACUGACGCUCAUGUGCGAAAGCGUGGGGAGCAAA
rnacentral:rRNA from 1 species